rnacentral:rRNA from 1 species
GGCCAGGCUGAAGACUUUGCCGGAUUAGCUGAGAGGUGUGCAUGGCCGUCGUCAGUUCGUACUGUGAAGCAUCCUGUUAAGUCAGGCAACGAGCGAGACCCACGCCCACAGUUGCCAGCGUACUCUCCGGAGUGACGGGUACACUGUGGGGACCGCCGCUGCUAAAGCGGAGGAGGAAUGGGCAACGGUAGGUCAGUAUGCCCCGAAUAUCCCGGGCUACACGCGAGCUACAAUGGUUGGUACAAUGGGUAUCUACCCCGAAAGGGGAUGGAAAUCUCCUAAAGCCAAUCUUAGUCCGGAUUGAGGGCUGCAACUCGCCCUCAUGAAGCUGGAAUCCGUAGUAAUCGCGUUUCAACAGAACGCGGUGAAUACGUCCCUGCUCCUU